AUCGAUGAAGAACGCAGCGAAAUGCGAUAAGUAAUGUGAAUUGCAGAUUUCAGUGAAUCAUCGAAUCUUUGAACGCACCUUGCACCCUUUGGUAUUCCGAAGGGUAUGCCUGUUUGAGUGUCAUUAAAUUCUCAAACCUUCAACUUUAUUGUUGAAGGCUUUGGAUGUGGGAGUCUUGCUGGACGCUCUUGAGUGGUCAGCUCUCCUUAAAUGCAUUAGUGGUUACUGAUUCCACUACUUGGUGUUGAUAGUCUAUCUUACGCCCUGUAGUGAAGUCAACUUAUGUAUCUGCUUCUAACUGUCGCUCUUUUGUGACAAUUUAUUGACUAUUUGACCUCAAAUCAGGUAGGACUACCCGCUGAACUUAAGCAUAUCAAUAAGCGGAGGAAAAGAAACUAACAAGGAUUCCCCUAGUAACUGCGAGUGAAGCGGGAAAAGCUCAAAUUUAAAAUCUGGCGGUUCUUGUAGUCGUCCGAGUUGUAAUUUAGAGAAGUGCUAUCCACGCUGGACCGUAUACAAGUCUCCUGGAAUGGAGCGUCAUAGAGGGUGAGAAUCCCGUCUUUGAUACGGACUACCAGGGUAUUGUGAUGCGCUCUCGAAGAGUCGAGUUGUUUGGGAAUGCAGCUCAAAAUGGGUGGUAAAUUCCAUCUAAAGCUAAAUAUUGGCGAGAGACCGAUAGCGAACAAGUACCGUGAGGGAAAGAUGAAAAGAACUUUGGAAAGAGAGUUAAACAGUACGUGAAAUUGUUAAAAGGGAAACGCUUGAAGUCAGUCGCGUUGGCUUGGGAUCAACCUUGUUUUUUACUUGGUGUACUUCCUUGUCGAUGGGUCAACAUCAAUUUUGACUGCUGGAUAAAGAUUGAGGGAAUGUGGCAUCCUCGGAUGUGUUAUAGCCCUUAGUUGUAUACAGUGGUUGGGAUUGAGGAACUCAGCACGCCGCAAGGCCGGGUCUUGUACCACGUACGUGCUUAGGAUGUUGGCAUAAUGGCUUUAAUCGACCCGUCUUGAAACACGG
rnacentral:rRNA from 1 species